rnacentral:lncRNA from 1 species
GCCCCUUCCCCACCACAAAAAGAAAGAUAAAAGGAGAAGAUUUCUCUUUGAAUCCAGCUCACACCUGAACACGAGGAGAUUAGAAAAUGGAAGGGUUAUCUUCAAUUAUCAUUGAGCUCAGGCCGCCGAGUUCGGUGGUGUUGCUUCCUUAAAACGACACCAGCAAGGUUAACUGGUGCAUGCAUGCACAGCCGGUAAUCUAAAAAAUUCGAGAUUCAGAUUCGGACAAGAAUUGAAAAUCCGGUGAAAUCUAAGUUGAUUUGAUCGGGAUUUUAAUAAUAUGAUCAAGUAAAAAAUAACAUAUAUUUUUUAAUUAUACACCAUAACGUCGAUUGUUAAUCGAAAAGAUGAAAGGAUUAUCAACAAAGAGUCAAUAGACUUCGCCGAGCUCGAUGCUUCUCCCCUUUCGACACGGUGCUCGAUGUUGAGUACAAAUUGACUCGAAGAGGAAACCUUUAUGAGCUCCCGAAGCAGAGCUCAGCACCGAGAUGACCCCAUUUCCGUAGGCCCACCACGCUUGGGGUUUUUCUCGGCAGAAGAAAAUGAUCCGAAGAAGUACCAAGCAAAAGCUGGAAUCAUUAGCUUCUCCUCUCCAUUACUCCUUC